rnacentral:antisense_RNA from 1 species
CAGAGAAGAUCAGGGACAGCAGGGGCAUCAUUUCCCGCCUAAAACCAAAUUAACAAACCAUUAGCUCAAGUUAGUUUCUUCUUUCCAGCUAAAAAAAAAAUAAAAUAAAAAUCCCAAACCAAAAACUCUUCACACCAAUAAAUGCUUACUAAUUUCAGGCAAACAGAGCUUUUCUUGGCAGGUGGAGGUGGUGGAGGGGAAGGUAGAGAUUGCUCAGUGUUCUAAUUCACAGACAGCUUAUUCUAAAAGUUAGAUUUUGUAUCUCAGUAUAAUAGGCUGUGCUCAAUAAGUUCUGCAUGAGGAAACAAUAAAAAGGAUAAUAAAGGAUUUAAGGUGUAAACGUGG